rnacentral:rRNA from 1 species
ACUCCUACGGGAGGCAGCAGUGGGGAAUAUUGCACAAUGGGCGCAAGCCUGAUGCAGCCAUGCCGCGUGUAUGAAGAAGGCCUUCGGGUUGUAAAGUACUUUCAGCGGGGAGGAAGGGUGUGAAGUGAAUAGCGUCAUGCAUUGACGUACCCCG